GGAAUCUUCCACAAUGGGCGAAAGCCUGAUGGAGCAACGCCGCGUGGGUGAAGAAGGUCUUCGGAUCGUAAAACCCUGUUGUUAGAGAAGAAAGUGCGUGAGAGUAACUGUUCACGUUUCGACGGUAUCUAACCAGAAAGCCACGGCUAACUACGUGCCAGCAGCCGCGGUAAUACGUAGGUGGCAAGCGUUAUCCGGAUUUAUUGGGCGUAAAGGGAACGCAGGCGGUCUUUUAAGUCUGAUGUGAAAGCCUUCGGCUUAACCGGAGUAGUGCAUUGGAAACUGGGAGACUUGAGUGCAGAAGAGGAGAGUGGAACUCCAGGUGUAGCGGUGAAAUGCGUAGAUAUAUGGAAGAACACCAGUGGCGAAAGCGGCUCUCUGGUCUGUAACUGACGCUGAGGUUCGAAAGCGUGGGUAGCAAACAGGA
rnacentral:misc_RNA from 1 species